rnacentral:rRNA from 1 species
GUGCCAGCAGCCGCGGUAAUUCCAGCUCCAAUAGCGUAUAUUAAAGUUGUUGUGGUUAAAAAGCUCGUAGUUGAACCUUGGGCCUGGCUGGCCGGUCCGCCUCACCGCGUGCACUGAUCCGGCCGGGCCUUUCCCUCUGUGGAACCCCAUACCCUUCACUGGGCGUGGCGGGGAAACAGGACAUUUACUUUGAAAAAAUUAGAGUGCUCCAGGCAGGCCUAUGCUCGAAUACAUUAGCAUGGAAUAAUAAAAUAGGACGCGCGGUUCUAUUUUGUUGGUUUAUAGGACCGCCGUAAUGAUUAAUAGGGACAGUCGGGGGCAUCAGUAUUCAACUGUCAGAGGUGAAAUUCUUGGAUCAGUUGAAGACUAACUACUGCGAAAGCAUUUGCCAAGGAUGUUUUCAUUAAUCAGGAACGAAAGUUAGGGGAUCGAAGACGAUCAGAUACCGUCGUAGUCUUAACCAUAAACUAUGCCGACUAGGGAUCGGACGGUGUUAUUCAUGACCCGUUCGGCACCUUACGAGAAAUCAAAGUGCUUGGGCUCCAGGGGGAGUAUGGUCGCAAGGCUGAAACUUAAAGAAAUUGACGGAAGGGCACCACCAGGGGUGGAGCCUGCGGCUUAAUUUGACUCAACACGGGGAAACUCACCAGGUCCAGACACAAUAAGGAUUGACAGAUUGAGAGCUCUUUCUUGAUUUUGUGGUGGUGCUGCAUGGCCGUUCUUAGUUGGUGGGGUGACUUGUCUGCUUAAUUGCGAUACGAACGAGACCUUAACCUGCUAAAUAGCCCGCAUUGCUCCGGCAGUGCGCUGGCUUCUUAGAGGGACUUUCGGCUCAAGCCGAAGG